AGCCGGGCUUGCAGCGCUGGGGGCCUUCAUACGGGGAAGAGGAGGCUCCAAGUACAACUUGGAGCGCCUUCCAGUGCCUAAAGAGGCUCCGAGGGAGCUGGAGAGGGACUUUGAACAAGGGCCUGGAAUGACAGGACAAGGGGCAAUGGCUUCCCACUGCCAGAGGGCAGGGUUAGAUGGAAUAUUGACAAGAAAUGCUUCCCUGUGAGGGAGCUGAGGCCCUGGCACAGGGUGCCCAGAGCAGCUGGGGCUGCCCCUGGAUCCCUGGAAGUGUCCAAGGCAAGGUUGGACAGGGCUUGGAACAGCCUGGGACAAUGGGAUGUGUCCCUGCCAUGGCAGGGGGUGGAAUGAGAUCUUUAAGGUUCCUUCCAGCCCAAAUCAUUCCAUGAAUCUGUGAUUCUGUAAACAGAGUAUAUACGUAAGUGUGUGUAUACACACACUACAGUAGAAAUCUUGGAUAAUCAAAGCACCCCCGAGGGCUCAGCUGGCAGAAGAUCACCUGAGGAAGCCGCGGCCAUCCCUGGCCCCAGGUUACUGCAGUGACACCAGGAACAGCAAAUCUCUGAGAGCACAAAGGAACUUCUGGCUAACGUGAGUCUGUACCAGUCAAGCAGCUAGGACAUCGCUGCUGUCACUGUGCGCUUUGGGACACAAAAUAAAACCCUUUGAAAAUAAAAUAACUUCUGUGAUUUUAAAGAAUCUGUUGCAGGUGCUCAAGCCAGUGAUAUUAUUUAACUUUUACAUAAAAUCUUUCUUGUUUCAAGUGUAUUUUUUCUUAACCUGAACGCACUGUUGCAUAAGUGAAUGCACAGAAAUUACAAUACACUUCCUCUUUUGAGAGUGAGGAAUGAGAGAGUCUACGCUCUGAAAUCAGAGGAAAGAAUACCCAAUAUUGAGAGAGUAGGAGAAUAUCCACAGCAUAUAUAUAUAUAUAUAUAUCAGAAAAAUGAUACACUUUGCAAGUGCAAAGUUUAGCAUUUUCUUACAACUGGUAGGGAUGUGGAAAUCCUUCCUGUCUUCCAUGCAUAAACUCCAAUAAGAUCUCACAGCCACAAUUAAGUGACUGUUUCUGUUGAUAAGGCCUAAGCAAGAAAGCAGCUCCAGCUGUUUCCCUGACAGACCAACACACACGUUUCGAUGCCAAUCAGCCAUCUGUGGUUCUGACUGACCAAGGUACAUGUGCACAUCACUUCAGGCACAGAAAUCACUUUAAUUCCAGCACAGAACAAUGUGUGCUGCUCAGCUAGAGGCUGAGUAUGGAAAAAUCAGGAGCAUGCAGCUUUGUCAGAGAGGUGGGAAUUCAUGGGAAGCAAGUUUGGAGCCAAGGUUACAGCCCAGUGUAAGGACAAGCAAAUUGAUCAGCUAAAAUAAGGUCUGGAGGGUUUUUUAUUUUCUCUAAAACUUUUCUAUGCCCCUUUAAGUCUUUAUGUUCCUUUAGAGAUAUUUGACCAUGUACACAUGAAGUUCCAUAGUUAAUAUUCUAUUCAAACCAGUAAUGAUAAAAAUGAGUCCUACAAGCCUUGCUUAACAGAGAUUUCUGUCUCAUGCAUCACCUACAUAAACAGCGGUGUCUCGUCCAGUUCCUGCCCUGCCCAGUGAGGCUCUGGCUGACUGCAGCAGGAGCUGCACAUCUGCCCAGCUGGGCAUCCUUUGCGCUGGGUUUGUUGUCUCCUCUUAUGAACAGAAAGCUAUUUUUUUGGUUGCAGAGUUAAAAACAAGUCAGACCAGUUGCUGUAAGUUAGUUUCCCUGCCAAAGAAGAGUUCUUCAAUUACCUGUUAAUGGACAAUUAACCAUUGUCCCCCUGAUGCUGGCCGCUUGCCAGGGAGGGACACCAGGACAGACCCUCCAGGUGAAGAGAAUAGCAGUGACAUCAGAGCUAGUAUGCAGAUGAGAAAUGCAUUGCGCCCCGAAUUUUUACAGUUUUUCCCAGGAAAACCCCUAAAAUUACGAGCCAACAAGUGACCUAAGUGAUGUCUAAGGAUGGGAGCGUAGUCCAGUGACUGCUUGGAUCCUUUUUGAUUCUCACCCUAACCUGAAAAAAUGUUGACUAGAGAGACGACCCGAGGUGUUGGACCAAAAAGACAGAAUCUCCUAAUCUCCCGUGAGGACGGAAUCCCCAGCUCUGCCUGCAGAUCUGCGGACAAAGCCGCAUCACCCUCCUCCUCCGUGCCACUCCUGGGAGCAAUGGCGGCGUGGGCGCGACCCGUCGAUUUCUCCCCACCUGAGCUGAUUCUUCUUAAUAAAGGCAUUAAAAAGGAGAAAGAUCUCCUGCCCAUUGAUUUCACCUCCCAGCUGGCACAUAACACUGUUUGCUUCUGCAGAUUGCCUGUGGCUGGACUCCCAGCGGUGGGAACACUGCACUGUACCCUUCUCUACCGCCGCCUGGGUGAAUCUCACCUUUAGCAGAGCUGAGUGUUUGCAGGAAGAAGCCGGAUGCUGCCCCAAGGACACAUCCCUGUAGCCCCUGUGGAAUCCCCAGCUUCUGAUGCCUCCAGUCAAGUUCCAUUUGUUCCAUCUGCUCUGUAAAAUUCACGAUAAAAAGAAUGUAUUCCAGGUGCAGACUGCUUAUCAGUUUGUGCUUGCCAGGCCAGGAGGAACGCAGAACAAUCCUCACAUUCACACUUUCAGAUAUCAUUUCCCCUGGUAAAAAUCACGGCCUGUCAGUGAAUUGGAAGAACAAAUAAAUAAUUAACACAGAAUACAUGAUGAGUGAAGAUGAAUAUAAUUGAGUGGCAGAAGAACUAUGUAUCCAAGAUUUUACCUUUGGGGAGAGGAGUGGAAUGCUUAAUUAUUGUCUUUUUUUCCCCUAUGCUUUUUAUAACUACAAGAUACUCAGGCAGGAUGGAAUUUUCUUGCUAUUCCCUGUCAUAGCUUUGUUUUGAUGAGUACAAACCCCAACAGAUAGGAAACCUUCCCACAACAGUGCAGGCUGACCUUGUCAAAAACUUUUCAGGAAAACUGAAUGCUUUGGUAGCUUUCCACAUUUUCUGGGUUUGAUAUGGUGAUGCUGUGCUUCUGGGAGAUAAUUUCUGAGAAAUAAUAUUUAAUAAUUUUCAUAAUAUUUUUGUUUUAUUUCUCAGUCCAAUCCAGACUGGUCAGUGGGAUUUGUGCUUGUGGCAAAAUAUGUGUAGCAUUUAUUCUCGCUUGGGCUAUUGUAAGUAAUAAUAUUCACAUCCCUAAUGGAAGCUUAUCCUGUUGUAACAACUGCCACAAUCAGUGAGUGCUGUUGGUGCUGAGAGUUGACUGGGAAGCCACUGAGCAUAAGGGUCUGUGUGGCAGAGUGAUGUAAAUGAUUUCCAUGUUUGAACCUUUCUUGUGGUAAUAAAAAUAAUUCUGAAAGUUCAUUAAACUGUUGGGAUUCUGUUUGAUUUUUGAGCAUAAGUCUGCAAAUGGACAUUGCUCUCUGAUACCUCUGGGCCCUGGGUUCCCUCAGCUAAAGGGCUGGGACAAGACUGUGUGGCAGAAGAACUGAACACUUAUUAUCCUCCUAUCCCUAGAGCAUGGGAUUCCCUCUCCUGAAAUAGACCCCGUCUUCAUUCCCUCGGUUUUUCCAUUCUCAACCAACUCCAAAGACCUCACACAAGACAAACCUCUUCUUUCCAACAUUACAUAAUUUCCUAAAGAUUGCACAGCAAGUCUCUUGUCAAACCUGGAAAUAGGGCUGGGUUUCUUAGCUCCUUGACAAGUGUUUAAUGAUUUUUUAGUUUAGUGGUGUGGGGGUUUUUGUUGUUGUUGUUUUGGCAUUUGGUUUGGUUUUUGUGUGAGGCACACAAAAAUCCUGACAGAAUCACUUAAAUACAAAAUAAUUCAGGUAGGAAGGAACCUCUGGAGACCUCUAGGUCCACCCCAUGCUUGAACCAGAACCAACUUAGAUAAUGCAGCAUAGGCUGAACAGAUUCAGCUCUCUCAGCAGCUGCUCAUGUGUCCUGUGCUCCGUCCCUGAUAGCUUGGUGGCCUCCUCUAGACUCUGGUUCCCACGUGCCUAGAUAGGAAAGGCACCAGGGAGCUUGGGCUGGUCCCAGCACUCACAGCUCUUGUCUCCACAGGGGCCUUGCAAGCAGGGUCGGCUGGGCCCGUGGGAGGCACCACAGCAGCUCUGCAGUGUCCACAGGCACCACGUGGAUCCCAGUUACAGCUUUGCCCUCUGGAUGAUGCACUGAAGACCCACCAUGGGAGCAGGUGCUCAGUGUCAGUGUGAAUUGGAUGCCUGCUUCUGGCAGCUCUUUGAGAAGAGUUUUUGACAUACAGAUGUUUGUAGAGACAGAACAUUUUGUUUAGACCCAGGUUUAUUUAGUCCCACCCAGAUCACCUCCCUCAUUUAUACAGUUGUGAAUUAUCUACAUCUGAAAGGCUGACUCAUCUCCUGAGUGGUUUGCCUCCUUGCAAAUUGCUCUGGUAUAAAUCAGCUCGUGUUUCAGAGCAGAACAGUUACUGAAAAAAAGCCAUGUAACAUCAAAACUAAUACAAAGGGAGGAGGUAUGAUUUAACUACCUGGAGCUUGAUCCAAAGCCAAAUAAAGCUAAUGAACUGGUUUCCAUUAAUAACUCUUUAAUAGUCCUUAUCAACUUUAGGGGUCUGUACUUUACCUUAUGUAGCACCUUGUAACAUGAUGCCGGAAUGUUCUUUGCUAAAAAUUAAAACCCCACACAAGCUAUCAAUUCUGAUGAGUGUGAGGUGGAGUUAUUUCACUACAUCCCUCUGUCCCUUGGAGCUGCAGCAUUACACUUGUGAACUCUGAACAAAGCCUCUGGUCUUGGACUGACAGUCCAGGUUUGGGAGAUCCCUGGCUGAGCAGAAAUCAUUCUCAUUCACUCGAUUUCUUUCAUCCAGCCUUUCUUAUGCUCAGUGUGCAGUGAGUAACUGGGCACUGGAUUGCAAUCUGAGGGUGAGUAACAGCAGGGGCAGGAAGGUUGCUGUACCAGUCCCAUCACAUGCUAUUAACAUACCAGGUGCAGUGCUCAUGAUUUCCCAGACUGGAUCAGGGGAGAAUUUACUUGGUUGAACUUGCUCUGCAAGGCCCAGGGUUUGGUCCUCAGCCGAUGUUCUGCGCAUGCUUGUCACGACUGGAGAGGGAGGAGAAGAUGAUGUACUUGACUUACCACCAGCCUAGAGCCUGGGGCUCUCAGGGACUGAACCAGCCUCUUGUGUAACAGGCUGGCUCCAGGAUUCUCAUAAGGAACAAAAUGUUCUGGUUUUCCUCUUGUUGA